GACGAACGCUGGCGGCGUGCUUAACACAUGCAAGUCGAACGAAGUGGCUAACGGGUGAGUAACGCGUAAUCAACCUGCCCUUCAGAGGGGGACAACAGUUGGCAACGACUGCUAAUACCGCAUACUGAAGGAGGGGAUUGCGUCUGAUUAGCCAGUUGGGGGGGUAACGCCCUACCACGGCGAUGAUAAGUAGCCGGUCUGGGAGGAGGAACGGCCACAGUGGGACUGGGACACGACCAAGACUCCUACGGGAGACAGCAGUGGGGAAUCUUCCGCAAUGGACGAAAGUCUGACGGAGCAACGCCGCGUGAAUGAUGACGGCCUUCGGGUUGUAAAGCUCUGUUAAUCGGGACGCGGUACCGGAAUAGAAGGCCACGGCUAACUACGUGCCAGCAGCCGCGGUAAUUC
rnacentral:rRNA from 1 species